rnacentral:rRNA from 1 species
GACGAACGCUGGCGGCGUGCUUAACACAUGCAAGUCGAGCGGUAAGGCUCCUUCGGGAGUACACGAGCGGCGAACGGGUGAGUAACACGUGAGUAAUCUGCCCUUCACUUCGGGAUAACCACCGGAAACGGUGGCUAAUACCGAAUACGACCAGUCUUCGCACGAGGUGCUGGUGGAAAGUCUUUUCGGUGAAGGAUGUGCUCGCGGCCUAUCAGCUUGUUGGUGGGGUAAUGGCCUACCAAGGCUUCGACGGGUAGCCGGCCUGAGAGGGUGACCGGCCACACUGGGACUGAGACACGGCCCAGACUCCUACGGGAGGCAGCAGUGGGGAAUAUUGGACAAUGGGCGAAAGCCUGAUCCAGCAACGCCGCGUGAGGGAUGACGGCCUUCGGGUUGUAAACCUCUUUCAGUACCGACGAAGCGCCCUGUCGGGUGGUGACGGUAGGUACAGAAGAAGGACCGGCCAACUACGUG